AACAUACCUAAACGUUGCUUCGGCGGGAACAGACGGCCCCGUGAAACGGGCCGCCCCCGCCAGAGGACCCCUAACUCUGUUUCUAUAAUGUUUCUUCUGAGUAAAACAAGCAAAUAAAUUAAAACUUUCAACAACGGAUCUCUUGGCUCUGGCAUCGAUGAAGAACGCAGCGAAAUGCGAUAAGUAAUGUGAAUUGCAGAAUUCAGUGAAUCAUCGAAUCUUUGAACGCACAUUGCGCCCGCCAGUAUUCUGGCGGGCAUGCCUGUUCGAGCGUCAUUACAACCCUCAGGCCCCCGGGCCUGGCGUUGGGGAUCGGCGGAGCCCCCCGUGGGCACACGCCGUCCCCCAAAUGCAGUGGCGGUCCCGCCGCAGCUUCCAUCGCGUAGUAGCUAACACCUCGCGACUGGAGAGCGGCGCGGCCACGCCGUAAAACACCCAACUCUUCUGAA
rnacentral:misc_RNA from 1 species